rnacentral:rRNA from 1 species
UAUAAAGAACAUAUUCAACCUCUGAACGCACCCAACCUUGUCUGAUCUUGGAAGCUAAGCAGGGUCGGACCUGGUUAGUACUUGAAUGGGAGAAAACAUUCAACUUCCCAAUUUCAUUAUUU